ACAAAAAAAAGUGCAGGAGUGGACCGUGAAUUACUUAAAAUUCUUUUAUUCAAAAUAUUUAUUUGGUAAUAAAAAAUAAAAAACCUGAAAAUAACUUUUUUUUCGUUUCCAAAAUUUUUUUCAAGAAAAUUGUAAUUUUUCACUUAGUCUGAUAUAUUACGAGCUAAACAAUCGUAAUAAUAAUAAAAAGUGGCCGUUGCUUAUAUAUACUCUUAAAAUUUUAGACUUUUUUUUGUUUAUCCCGUUCAGAAGGCUAAUAUACCUUUUUAACAUUCUAAGCCUUUUGAAAUGUAUUUUUAGAAUUAAACUUUGUUAGUGAACUAUUAUGAACGGACACUAUUUCUGUAAAAUUAUUAUUUUACUCUUUUAAAUAUACAUUUUUAUUAUUAUCAACUUUUCUUAGUUACUCUUAAGUAAGAUUAAAACAAACAUUUUGAUUUUGUGCCUUUCAAAUAUACUCUUCUAUCCUAACUAUCUUUUCUAUUUGUCAUUGAGUUAGGGGCAAAAGAGGUAUUUUAAUUUUUUCAGGUUAUGGUAGAAUUUUAUCGGGAUUUAAUCCAAGAUGACUUAACGGGUAUAGACAGUAGGAUUAGUCUUGAAUAACGAAAAAAUAUACGAGUAGUAUAUUUGAGAGAAAAAAAAAGAUAUAAAUAAAAUAUUUCAGAAGUUUUGAGGGGCAUAUAGAUAAUUCUCCCUAAUAAAAACAUCAAAUAAUAUAAAAUUGGUGUUUAAAAGGGUAAACAAAUAACAAUCAAUUUUAAAAAACAAAGAAAAAGCCAAGUUAACAACUCCUAAUUUCUAGAUAUAUCUCAAUAUCACUCUUAAUUCAUAAAUAAUUACUAAUAAUCAAAAGCACUAUUAGUACUAUAAUUAAAUAGCUAUAUAAAUAAUUAAGGUAAAUAUCAUGUGAUUAAUUAAUUUGUUUCUCAUUAAAUGACUAUAUAUUAUCACACAUAAAAUGAAGAAGAUAAAUCUAUUAGUUUAAAGGGAUAAUUGCCUAUGUACCCCUUAAAACUUCGAAAAUAUCUCAUUUAUCCCUACUUUUUUUUUAUUCUUUCUAAUAUAUCCCUCAUAUGUACCCUUGUUAUUCCAAAAUACCCCUACAGUUACCACCAGUUAAGUUAACUUGGGUUAAACGUGAGUUAAAUAUUUACCAUAGUUAAAAAAAUUAAAAUAUCACUUUUGCCCUUAACUUAAGAGCAAAUAAAAAAUGUUGGUAAUGCUAGAAGGGUAUAUUUGAAAAGACUAAAAAGUAAAAUACUUUUUGUACCCCUAAUUUAAGGGCAAAUAAGAAAAAUCAGUGAUGGUAGAAUGAUAUAUUUGAAAAGGCAAAAUAAUAAUUUUAUAGAGAUAAUAGAGUUCAUUAACAAACUUUAACUAUGGGGUAUAUUAGAAAUAGAUUGGAACGUAAAAAAGAGUAUUUUCAAUAUUAGCCUUCUAAGAGGGGUAAAUCAGAAAGUCGAAAACUUUUCAGGAGUAUAUAAGUAAUUGUCCCAAGUUUAAAAGAAUUACAUGAAGCAUGCACAAAAUAUUUAAUUAAACCUCAAGCUAAUGAAUAAAAUUAAUUGUAUGGUGAAUAUGAAGAGAAAUGGAGUGUAAUUUACAGGUUUUUCGUGAAUCCCAAGCUGAGCCCAAGUUAUGACUUCAAGGAGCUCUUCCAAUGUCCCAUACCCACCUAAUCAAUCACUCAAAAAAAAAGAAGCAUAUACCACAUAGAUUAAUUAACUAAUAAUUUAAUUAAUUUAUAUUUAAAUUAAGUACUUUUUAAAAUAGUCACUUUUGCUUGAGCUUUAAGCAGCAGCAAUUAAUCUUUACUAAAGCAUUUGGUAGAAACAGAUUCUGAGUAUGACAAGCAAAGAUUCUAAUCAGAUGCUUCUGCUACUGUUGCAGAAAGAGUUUAUAUUUUGAACUUGAAAUUAAAUAAGAUUCUGAUACUGAAAAAAAGCAGAAGCUGUAGUUUUGUGGGGUUUAAUUGAACCAAUGAACUGAUACUGUAAUAGUUGAGGAUUUAGGACCGAUUCUGAUAUAUAUCAUAUUAUAUAAUCUAAAAUAAUUCUAAGAUAUUAUCGAAAGAAAGGCGAAAUGGGAUCGAGGCGAUGAUUGAGCUUCGUUCGAGAUGCGAAAAAUACCAGGCAAGGCGAUGAAGGCGUCGGCCUGGCGUGCCAUCUCGGCCUUCCUUUGGUGCAUGUCGGAGACCGCUCUCACCUCUCCGACUGUAACUCCUGUUAUCUGCUCGCAUUCAAAAGCUCACAAAUUUUAAUUUUUUGAUUAAACUUAAUCUCAAUCUAUAGGAAUAACUAGAUAAACAUGGUCUCCUUUUCUAAUUAUACAUUGAGAAGUGAAGUUUAAAUCAUUUAAUACUGUAAUUAAAUGAUAAGUUCUGCUCUAUCAAUAUCAGUGUCGCAAGAGCAGAAUAUUUAAAAGAGGAGAUAAGAUGGAAUGGAGUGCUCCUACCUCUUUGGGCAUUAGAAUCUUGGGGAUAACCCUGCAACAAACCAAAAAUACAUAGCUUCAAUCUUGUUGAUUAAAUGAGAGAGAGAGAGAAAGAGAGAGAGAGAGAGAGUACACACCCCAAUACAUGGCGACCACCAUUAUAAACAGCUUGAGAAACAAGCCCCAUGAGUCCAACACUUCCCCCUCCAUACACCAAAUCUAUGUUCCUCUCCACCUACAAUAAAUCAACAACAAAAAAAAGAGAGUGAAAAUUAACAACAAAGUAAUAAGUUAUAUAUAUAUAUAUAUAUAUAUAUAUAUAUAUAUAUAUAUAUAUACAUAGUAGAUGUAUAAUUGUGUGUAUAAAUAUAAAUAUAUAUAUGUAUACCAAUUCAUGGCCGAGUUGGAUCGCGGCGAGUUGGUAGCUCGGCUUCUUGCCGGAGCUGCUGCCGCAGAAGACGCAGACACGCUUGAAGCGCGACGGCAGCGGCGAUUGCGAUUGCUUCUGAGCUUGCACUGCAUAUUCUUCUGUUUCCAUGCUAUAUAUGUUUGUAUUGUAUAUGUAAACUCUUCUUAAUUUCUCUUUUCCUCUAUCUCUCCCUUAUCUCUCUCUAAAAUAAGGGAAGCAUAGAAAGAAAUUAAAAUAGAGCACAAGUAGUCUUUUUUUGCCCCCCCAAAGAUAUUGGAUAUGUUUUUUUAAGUCUUUGUUAUUCCUCUUCCCUGCUUAAAAAGGAAAGGCCCAAGCAAAACCGCGUCCACCGCUUAUGACGUCCCGCUUUUCAGGAGGUUAUUCAUCUUUCAAAUUGUUCUAGUCCUAAAUCGUAUAAUCUUUUAAUCUUUUGAGUUUAACUAUCGCCGAAAACGCUAUAAUUGGAUUAAGAGGUUCUAGUCUUAUUUUAUCUUAUAUAUAGAAAUAUUUCAAAUUCUAAAAAUGCCACAUUUUCUCUCUUUUUAAGUCCUAAUGUUCUAGUUAAACUCAAGCACGCCUAAUUACAAGUACCGGUCGACGUGAGAGUCAUAUUGCUAAUCUUAGCUGAUUUUAACAGGAGCUGCGCUAGCUUCACUUACAAUGAUCGUCAGUCGGAGAGCCACGCUUACUCGUCAUAUGACCCUAUUUCAGUCGAGACACGUCUCACAUUUUCGAAAGAUGAUUUGCUUCGAUAUCAACUAUGACGAUCCCUUUGUAGGAGAAUCUUUAAUCCUAGAACCACUCUAUUUUUAACAUGUUUAGUUUUUCUAACUUUUUGGAUCACUAUUUUUUUUUUUUUCAAAAAAUGAUAUAUUUUUUUUACAUAUUAUAGAAUGCUGUCUUUACUCACCGUUCAUUAAAUUUUAGAUUCAGGUAAAUGAUGCACUAAAAAAAUAAUUUGUAAAAAUUUUAUUCCAAAACAGUUUAUAAAAAGUUUCGUUUUCUUUAUAAAUAACAUUUUAAGAAAUAUAGCAGUAAUUAUUUAUUUAUUUAUUUAUUUUAUGCUGUUGUUGGGACAAUUUACAAACAAUCAAUCAAUAUCUUAUGUAUUUGUUGUUUACAACUUGAUGACGCGGUUUCCUCUGGAAAAAUGAAUGUCGCAUGCAUUCCAUUGGUUCCGUAAAGAGUGGAAAAUAGAUACCAUACGGAUAGGGUUAUUAUAUAUAUCAAGGGUUUCAAUAUUCUUUUUCUUUCUUAAUAUAUAUAUAUAUAAAAAUCAAAUAUUUAAUUUUAUAUGCGAAUUCUCAAAGUGUAGUUUUAAUUUUUAAGUUUUUAAAUGCAAACAAAAUUCAGAAAAAAAAAUAAGGAUUCUCAGUCGGAACUGAUCCAUGCUAACCAUUUUGGACCGAUCGAGAAAUUCCUUAACGGAUUGAGUUUCUCCCGAACUCCCAUACGACCGUCAUGGUCCAUUUGGCAUUCGUAAUAUCCUAGUACGCCAUCAAGUGCGAUUAAUUUACUCAGUUUCUGUCGUUUAGGGAGUAUCAUUUUUUUUUUUUUCUAAUUUGACGUUAUUUUUGUUUUAAAUCCGUUGGAUGGAUGAAUGUAUGGAUUGGAAGCACGCUCGUAACUCAGAUUCGUAUCAUUUCUUAUAUCGAUUAAGUUGACCAAAUCACAUUACAAAUCUAAUCUCUAAAGAUCUUGUGGAAACAUCAAGAAUACUCAAAUCCUAUAUUUUAUCAAUUCAAGCACUUAAAACUUCUUUUUCUCUUUUUCCUUCCCCCCAAUAUAAAAGCAUUAUCAAGAUUUCAUGAACCUUCAUGAAUUUUCCAAAAAAGGACACACAAUGAAAGAGAUUUCCAACAUAUGUGAUCACAAAAAGCACCACUCCUUUCAUUUUCUAGAAAAGCAUGUUUAUAUAAUUUUUGCCUUUUUAGCCCACAAUAUAUUUUCAACAAUUUAAUUUCACUACCUAAACCUUAUCCUUUAAACCUUUUCCUAUGAACAUGAUACCUAAUUGAUCAUCCUCAUGUUUCCUUGUGUCUUUUAGUUUUCCGACAUAUACACGAUGUUUCUAGCGAUCUUAACUCAUCAUCAACCCGUCAAAAUCCGAUCCAAAUACGCACAAACUAAUUUCAAAUCGUGAUCCAAAUAAUUGAAUUCGAUUUUUCGCAAUCAAGAUCUAAUCGGGAUCGUGGUUUUCUAAACUAAUACCUUAUGUUCACAUCAAAUUUAAUGCUGAAUAAUAGUAAAUCCUUAAUAGGUCUAAAAACGUCUAUAUAUAGUACCUGUUACUGAUACCAUACAUGUUAUUUAAAGAUUGGUACAAUUAAAAAAAGUUUUAAAAUAGUCUCAACAUACAUAACCCAAUUUAGUUCCUUUCAUAUAUCCCAGCUUAGAAACUAGUUGUGUNGGGGCGCAAUUGUUUAUAUACCCCUGAAAAGUUUCCGACUUUUCGAUUUACCCUUCUUAAAAGGCUAAUAUUGAAAAUGCGCUUUCUACGUUCCAACCUAUUUCUAAUAUAUCUCUCGAAUUAAAAUCUAUUAAUUAAUUCUGUUAUUUCUGUAAAAUUACUAUUUUGUCCUUUCAAAUAUACCCUUCCACCAUCAUUGACUUUCUUAUUUGCCCUCAAAGUCAGGGGCACAAAAAAUAAUUUGACUUUUGAUCUUUUCCAAUAUACCUCUCUAUCGUCAUCAACAUUUCUUAUUUGCCCUUAAGUUAAGGAUAAAAUUGAUAUUUUAAUUUUUUUUUAACUGUGGUAGAUAUUUAACUCACGUUUAAUCCAAGUUAACUUAACAGGAGAUAACUGCGGGAGUAUUUUGCAAUAACGGUGGAACAUAUGAGGGAUAUUUAAGAAAGAAAAAAAAGGGGAUAAAUCGGAUAUUUUCAAACGUACGAAGAGUAUAUAGACAAUUAUUUUUUUAUUUUUUUAUUUUUUUUUCCAAGACAGAGAAUGUGUGGAGGUGAUUAUUGAAAUGGAAACUAAAUACGUGGAUAGGGCAUCAAAGUGAGUAUUCCAUAAUGAGUGGUGAAUGAUAUGGCACCAUUUAUUAAUCAAAGUGUGACAUGUGUAUGAUUCCACUUUUGCCCCUAUCCAAAGAGCAUGAUAGGGACACAAAUUGGGUCCAUUUCACGCAGCAACAAUGUGCCAUGUCCAUAUACAUAUUUAUUGCAGUAAUUUUAAUAUGAUAACCUUAAUAGCUAAGUUAGCACGAAUAUUGAAGUAUUUCGAAACAAACCAAUGACUAAAUUUGUGUAAACACCGAGAACAUGGUUUGAUUAACCGUUGGAUCAGUUGGUAGGUACGGUGUAAAAAUAGUAGUAUGAUAAAUAAAGAUAAUUAACUAAAAAAAUAUUAUUUUUUGGUUCUAAAAGCGCAAACAUUUGAUCCAAGAAGUGCGAUUUUAUGCUAAUUUUUUUAUAUUUGUUUUUGAAAGAGUUUUUUUUUUUUUAAAAAAAAAAUACUACUACACACUUUUAACAUUAUUAUUAUGCUUCUAGACUAGAUGUAGACCCCCACGACGUAGACCGCCACAAACAUAAACAUUUCCACAUGCAUGUACGAAAUCGAUAAAAACUUAAUUAGUAAUUAUUUUGUAAAGAAAAUAUUAGUGACCAAGAUGCUCUAAACAAUAAUUAGUAGGAAAAACUUAAAAUUAACCCCCUAUGAUAUAAAAGGUUUUACUUUGUUGCCAUGUGAUUUUAUUUGUAUUUUACCAAACAAUACUAUGUGAAAUAGGAUUGUAAAGUGAAUUUUUUUUUUAAAAAAAAAAUAACAGAAUGGUAAAUAAAAAUUACGUUAAAUAUAAGAAGGUAAAGUGAAAAUUUUUAUUUCUAAAGUUGUGGAAUUAUUCCUGUUUGUUUAAUAAGGAAGAGAAUGACGUAAAAGUUUAAAUUUUCUAUUGUUAGUAUCUUAUCAUUUUUUCCUCACUAUUUUUUUUCAUAAUUGGCUUCUGCCAACCGUCAACUGUAGCCAAUUACGGUAUUUUGAGAUUUGAAUUUCGACGGAAGGUGAUGUUACCGUGAAUCGAACAAUGGACGUGGGUAGUUACGAUCGAAAAUCACUUCACCUCUCUCCACUUUUGCUGAAACAAACACACCCUUAAUUAGUUGAAAACAACUUAGAAGUUGAUUUGUGCUCACACACAUUGUGGAUACCAGACACACAUAGUGGAUACCAGAUGAAUUGUGUUGCCGAUAUAGAUAUUGAUCGUAGAAUCUCUUAGAAUAGAGAGGCUUAGGGCUACUUGUAAUAUUUAAUAUUAUAUUAUCCAAAAGAUCUAUUUAGUACGAAAUGAUCUAGAAUUCGCUUUAACAAGCGAUCGCCCACAUAUAUAGCAAUAGUUAACUAAAAGUGACCGUCCUAAGCACAAUAUGGCAGUUUUUGAUGAUUGGUAUCCGAGAUCACAAGUUCGAAAUUCAAACUUAGUUUUAAAAUAUGAUGAAUAAAAAUACAUAUCGUUUUUACUAUAAAAGACUAAAAGUGUCACGUCCCGGAUUAUACGUUCUCCAGGCACGCCGACAAAUCCGCCGUAUACAAAGAAAUUUUUCCUGUAUACGAAGCGAUAGCUGUACCUGUAAAUCAUACAAUACUACAAACAGUAGUAUAGAGCUGCUAGAAGAAUCAGAAAUAAAACAAACCGAUUUCCAUAUACAUACGCCAAAAUUCAAGAUACAAAACUACUCACACUGGCGAGUUAAAUAUGUAUGUACAUGAACUCCAACAAAAAAAAAAAAAAAAAAAACUACCUGCUGUAGGGGCACCUCUAGCUCGGCUCGUCGAGUAGGGCUCUAACUCGCGACGCCCUUACCUCGAUCCAGAUUAGCAACAACAGCAGCCGAAGACGAAGGCUUUGCAAAAACGGGAUAACAACAGGGCGUGAGAACUACUGUAAAACAAGUAGUCCUCAGUGGGUGCCGCCCUCAACAUCAUCGGUCCACCCACUAAGUCUACAGAUUUAAGCUCAGUGAUAGAAAAUGAAGCUGGAAUAAAUCUACAGCUAUAUGCCACUAUUUUAACAUGAUCCAAUACUACUAUCUGUCGAGUAAUGCAGCCUCAGACCUAAAUCCGUAGGGACUGUGAAAACACCCGUCCCAGGGACUGUUAACGCACCCGUCCCGCCUAUCGAAUCCUAAAUGCUACCUCCACACUAACAAGUCCGUGGAGAGCAAGUCCAACCAGGAUACUAUACAACGCAAACGCACAAAGCCCAACUCCGGAGUGGCACUCGUGGGCGCUACCCAACCGAGUAUGCAAGCGUAUCUCUACUGAGCUCAAUCAGGCUCUCACAGGCUAUAAUCAAGUAAACAGGGUCCAACUGGUCUAACAAUCAAGACUCACGUGCUCUCGGCACAAGCUGAUGCAAAACCCGCAAUCUGGUCCACCGUCAACCCCGACGGCACCCGACAGUCUGAAACAGCCUAGACACUGCUGUAAAAAAAAUAAGCUCUGCGUCUCCGCCCGAGCGUAACUGUAUUCUACACUAUUCCGGGUAUUCACCACCAACAAACUACGGUGAUACAGUUCUACUACAGCUCCUAAGCUUUCAGCGUAUCAAAAGCACACAACAGUGUGGAUACUAUCUGCGACAACUCUCGAAGUUAUCUGAGUAUCAAAUGCACACUAACAGCGGAGAUACGAAGCACAACAGCUUCAGAAGCUAUCUGAGUAUCAAUUGCGCACUAACAGUGGGGAUACGAAGCACAAAAGUUUAAGGAGCGAGCAGAAAAGACAGUGUAGAACCUACAGUUAAAUAUUACCCAAGUUCGGCAUCCCAGUACGAGUGUAACUGAAAACUAAACUACUUGGAGUAUCCGCCGCCUCGAUACUUCGACGAUACAAAAUACAACGGCUCCUAGAGCUAAAUCAGGUGUGUAAACAGGUGACAGGUCUAAAUUGCUGAUUUUCUCCUAAGUCAAAUUCCAAGUGCAACAUGUAUAUUUAUGGUUUACUAAUCAUGUCCUCAAUGCUGAUUUCAUCCAUAAUACAAUCAACGAAAUUAAGCUAUAACAUGAUUUACAAAAAUUGAAAAUUAUACAUGUCGACUAAUACUGUGCUUAGGAAUAAACCGAUGUAACCCACCUCGAGAGCUAAUCCCUGGCAGCAAAGAACCCCCUCAGCUGCGGAACAACCUGCUGGAUCGAUCGAAGUCCUCCAAAUCCAGAAAUCGAGCUAACUCCAAGCUCUACAAUCAAAAUCCAUCAAUUCUGUCCACGUGUAGCAACAGCAGAGUAAAACAAAGAUUCGACAAAGCUAACCUUCACCAAAUCCUGUAAUCUUAGGUUUCGUGGAUUCCUCUCGAAGUCCUAAAUCCAACGAACCAAGUUUCGUCGAAAUCCGACUCUCCUACGUCGCGUGUGAGCCGAAACGCCGACGGUCGACGCGGUAAUUCUGCAAAACAGCAUCUUAGCUCGAAAUUGAUGGAGCUUGAAGUAAUUGAAGUGAUUUCGAUGGAUCACUCACCUCGAAAACCUCUCAGAAAUCGGCGUAACAUCAAGGAUGGCAGAAAACCACGCUCACCCAGCCUCCUCGCAGCACCACGACGCAGAAAACACACUCAAAUGGCACCGCGGCGCGACGUCGGCGACAAAUGAACUCCACCCGAGCUCCCCCUCGCCUACCGUCCAAGCUAGAGAGAGAGGAGAAGAAGGACAGUGAAAACUCUCUCUCUCUCAGCUCUACACAAGCCUAAAUAGAGAGAGGGAAAGGGUGAUACGAACGAGGUGAAAAAAGACCAAAAAGUCCUCCUACCUACCCUGGCGUAUCGGUACACGGGCUAGUGUAUCGGUACAAGAAGCCAACCCGAGAGCAGUUUGCGCGUAACCUGUGCAGUGUACCGGUACACCAUACUUGCAGUAUCGGUACAGCAAGCAGAAAAAUAGCUAUUUGCAGAUUUUUCUUGCUAAAUGCUGCUCUCGCGUCGCACAGAGUCCGUUUUGCGUCUAUUUCACGCCAACGCGACUCAGACUUGUCCCGACACUCUCCAGAGUUGUCGACAAGCCUCAACUGCCAAACACCAGAGAUCUCACAAAAAGAUUUUAAAGGUACGUGCUUGUAAUCUUUCGUCCUCCAAUGUUUUAAAAUUACGAUUAUGAUCGCUGCCGGAGAAGCAUAUAGCCACAUGGUAGCCGGAGAAGCAUUUAUAUUAUUUUAUAAUAUAAAAUAAAAAAAAAUUGAAAACACUUUUUAAAAUUUUGAGUCCUUCUAUAAUAUAAAAAUAGUGCUAUUAGCAAUUGUGGCUUCACAUUACUAAAUUAGGCCCUAGUUGCUUCACAUUUUCAACAAGUGCAUUUUAAAAUAAUGAAUGAAGUGAAUAGCAUGUUGUUUUUCUUUCAAAGAAAAAAAAAAAGUUAAGCAAACAAAGCAAAUGCAUAAAUUCAUACAUAAAGAAAGAAGCAAGAAAUUAAUGCGCAUGAGAAAAUAUUUUUAUUGGUUCAUCUCAACAUGAAUGGCAUUAGAUAUAUUUUUGAUUCGCAUAUUAAUAUGUUUUGCAAACAUUAAUUAAACUCAUUAGGUUCCAUUUUAAGAGAAACAUAACAUCCUUUAGCACAAUUAACGAACGUCACGCAUGACGUCACACGAAGGUCUCGAAAUUAUAAAGAAUAUUAUAAGAUCAUACCUUAUGAUAUGUCCUAACUAAUAGUCAAUUAAAUCAAGCGUUUCAAAUGAUAAAAUAAUAUUAUGAGAUCAUAUCUUAUGAUAUGUCAUAACUAGUCAAUUAAAUUAAACACAUCACUUAAUCUCUUUUACUUCACAUUCUUAUGGAUUAAGGCUUCUACAUGUUAUUAUAUCCAAAAUAGAAAAGCAUUUUUCUUUUCUCUUAUUUGCACUUUGUGAGUUAUAUGCCCUUUUUUUAUUUACAAAUUCUAUAAACUCUUAGUCAAAGUUUGACUCUAAUUGAUCUCAUCAUGGCUCACCUUAAAUAGAAGGUUAAUUUCAAAUUAUUUCAUUGUUUAAUUACAUGUAUAUAUGAUACAUCAUCCAUGUUAAUUUAGUAUACCACUUACAAUUAAUUGUUCUUAAUAAUUUGAAUUAUUGUAGCAUGUUUAGGAUCCCUCAAUGAAAAAAAUCUAGGGCUCAGAUGAAUCUAUUGUACUAAAGCAUUAUCGUAUAUAAGACCUACAUUUAAUGAACUUUCACUAGCUACAACAAUUUUAUUCUAAUUACAUUAAUUAAUUUGAUUAUAUGAAACAUUAAAUGAUUAUAAAAUAGAUUUUAUUGCAAUAAUUUGUGCUGUUGUGAUAAAACAAAUCAUAUUAUUUAGCCAUUUACUGCUACAAAAUUUAUAGCAAUGAUUUGCAAUAAUUUUUAUUUGUUGCAAACAAUUAAUUAUUAUUGCAACUCAUAGUUAUCAAUUGCAACAACAUUUAUUAUUAAAAAAGAACUUAUUUCUAGUAGUGUUUAUUUAAUUAAUUUUAUUCCAUUUACUUAUAUUAGCACACAAAUAUAAUCAUUUAAAUGUUAUCAAUGGUUGAUGGGUACUUUUUUUUAAAAAAAAUAAUGGAGAACAUUAUUGGUUUCAUUAGAGUGUUACAAUCUUCAAACUUGUCGGAAUGCACCCAAACAUUUGACCAAACACAUUGCAAUUGCUUUUCUUUAUUAUAUUUUGAUAGUUUAACAACUUCUUACAUAUCAUAUUACAUAUAUUAAUCUCACUAAUAAUUAUGAAUUUUAUAUAUAUAAUCAUUCAUUGCUUUGCAUUUUCCUAACUACUACUACUUACCAAAACUUAAUUAACAAGUCAUUUGUUGUAUCAUUAAGGAUAAUAUUUUGGUAACUUCAAGUGACAAGGAGGUGCAGUAGAAAAACAACUUUUGUAAUGAGUUUUGGUUUAUAUAUAUAUAUAUAUAUAGAAUUGAGCUCCUAUGCUUUUAAAAGUACCAAGUCAUUGGUGCUUGUAAGUUUUUAGCCCUUGGAUUAAGGAAUGUGCGGUUAUGAUGAUGUGGGCCCUCUAGGGUUGAGUGAGUGGUUGGUUGAAUAGUAUAAUCUAACAGAUAAAAAUGAUCAAAGACGUUAGAUUUAACGGUAAAAAAUUUACAAGUACCAAAUGCUUGGUGCGUUUACAAGCACCAUAGCCGGACUCAUAUAGAAUUGAGCUACUAUUAUAUAUAUAUAUAGAGUUGGACUGGGCUACUAUUAGUAGCAAAAUUCCAUUGUUGCUACCAAUUUUUUAGCCUUUGGAUCAACCCUUUUCAUUAUUUCUAACCAUUGGAUUAAAUACUAUAACCCAGUGGGGACCACUCAUCCCUAGGGGGACCACUCAACUCUAACUGACUAAUAUCAUCCUGACCUUACAAUUUUUCAUCCAAGGGUUAAAAACUUGAUAGCAAAAAGAGUGUUUUACUAUUAAUAGUAUUCCAGCCUAAUUCUUUAUGAGUUGGACUGGGCUACUAUUAGUAGCAAAAUUCGAUUGUUGUAUAUAUAUAUAUAUAUAUAUAUAUAUAUAUAUAUAUAUAUAUAUAUAUAUAUAUAUAUAUAUAUAGUUGAGCUAGAAUGCCAUCGAUAACAAACGGGCUUCGUUGCCACCUAGGGGUGGAAACGAGCCGAGCUCGAGCGAGCUUACCUCGGCUCAAAUUCGGUUUGAAAUUAAUUUCGAGCCUAAAUUUAAGCUCAAGCUUGGAUUGAAAUUAAUUCGAGCCGAGCUCGAGCGAGCCUAAUUUCAAGUCGAGCGAGCUCGAGCCCUAAACGAGCCGCUUGAAAUUCUCAACAUUAUACGCUCAAUAGUUUAAUUUUUAUAGAACAUUAUCUAUAAUUUGAUACAAAAAUAUGUCUAAUAGUUUAAAGUACAAAAUAAUUAUAUGAAAUAUAGUAUUAUAAUAUGAAAAAAAUAAUUUAUGAGUUGAAUAUCUAAUUUUUUUCAGUCUCACAUGUCUUUUCUUCCGCCUUCAAUCUCUAUAUUAUUAAUUUUUAUUUAUGCAGUCAAAAAUAAAUAAAUUAUAUAGAUAAAUAUUAGAUUAAACUAUCCAAUUAUAUAUAACUAAAAUUAAAAUUUUAUAUGAAUAAUAAUUUUUUACUUUAAAAAUAUUUUGUAUAUUUUCUCAAGCACAUAAUUAAUAGCAAGGUAGGCAACGGCAGGCAUAUGAUGUUACUUGAUAACUUAGAGGGCUUCCGGCUUGGCCAUUUAGGGUGAGAGACAGAAAAAAAGAAAGAGAGAAACAUAUUGAAAAUUUAAAGCUCUGUGAAGGAUCCGAUCAUCCAUUUUUAAGAUGUCGUUCGAUUUUGACUGUUCAUUUUAUACCCACUUGAUGAACUUUAUUAUGAUUUCAAAAAGUUACAAAAUUUAUUUUCUACAAGUUUCAAAUAUUUUAGAUCAUAUUUAAUUGAGUGGAUCGUCGAUUCGGAAGCUCCAUUAUUGAAAAUAAAUUAUAAGUACGAAGGACUCUAUACUCAUAAGAGUAUAGUAACCCUACUAUAUAUAUAUAUAUAUAUAUAUAUAUAUAUAGAGUAGGGCUAGAAUACUUGUAAAAGUAUCACCCAAGUGAUACUUGUGUGUUUUUAGCCCUUGGAUGGAGAGAUGUGAGGUUGAUAUGAUGGGGGUAGGUGGUGGUAGGUGGUGGUAGGUGGAAUAGUAUUUGAUCCAAUGGCUAUUAGUAAUCAAGGAGUAGAUCCAAGGGCUAGAAACCUAAAAGCACCAAUGGGGUGAUACUUGUAAAGAAUCCCUAGAUCCAACUAUAUAUAUAUAUAGUAUAUAUAUACUUAUAUAUAUAUAUAUAUAUAUAUAUAUAUUAUAUAUAUAUAUAUAAUAUAUAUAUAUAUAUAUAUUAGUCUGGACUGGGCUACUAUUAGCUAGCAAAAUUUUAUUGUUGCUACCAAUUUUUUAGCCUUUAGAUCAACUCCUUUUCUAUAUUUCUAACAUUGGAUUAAUACUAUAACCCAGUGGGACCACUCAAUCCUAGGGGGACCACUCAACUCUAACCGACUAAUAUCUCCUGACCUUAUAAUUUUUCAUCCAAGGAUUAAAAACUUGAUAGCAAAAAUAGCGUUUUACUAUUAAUAGUAUUCCAGCCUAAUUCUAAUAUAUAUAUAUAUAUAAUAGGGUCCGGCCUACUAUACUAUAUGAGUACGAUCGCUUUCGUACUCAUAAGUUUUUCGAUGAUAGAGCUUCUGAAUCGACGAUCCACACCAUUAAACGUUUAUUAUAAUAUUUAAAACUUUUAGAAAUCAAAUUUUAUAGUUUUCGACCAUCAUUUACCUUACGAUCAACGAGAUCACAAAUUGAAAUUUUUAACGGCCGGUAUGAAUAUUGUAGUUUAAAGGUUGUAAAAGAAUCGGAAUUUGUUGAAUUUUUGAUGAAAAUUCUAUUCAUACAUAGAUAAGAUUCAAUAACAUCCGAUCUUGAAUUGAAGAUCCAUCAUCCUUUUUUAGGACGUCGUUCGAUUUUGACCGUUCAUUUUAUGCCACUUGAUGGACUUUAUAUAUUUCGAAAAUUUACGAAAUUUUUUCUAGAAGUUUCAAAUAUCUAGAUCUAUAUUUACGGAGGUGGUAUCAUCGAUUCGGAAGGCUCCAUCAUUGAAAACAACUUCAUGAGUACGAGGGCUCCAAUACUCAUAAUAGAUAGUAGCCAUGGCUAUAUAUACAUUAUAUAUAUAGAGUGAGGCUACUAUGCUAUCGGAAGCACGGAGCCUUCUGUGCUUCCAGCUCCGUUUUCGAUGUUUGCGACUUUUCGAAUCGUCGAUCGGCUCCGUUAAACUUAGAUCUAGAUAUUGGAGUACCUAGAAAAUAAAUUUUAUGAUUUUACGAUAUCAUUUGCCUAGUGAUCGAAUGCUCAAAAUCAACAAAUUUCAAUGGCCGUAGUGAGCCGUUUGCAAGUUUAACGUGUAGAAAAUAUCCAAAUCACGUGAAAUUUUGAUAGAAAAUUCUUUAUACUAUAUAAAACAAGAUCAAUAUCUUUGAUUUAAAUUUUAAUGUCAUAUUAUUACAUUUUGUAAGAUUUUUAUUUUUUCAGCUCGUUGAUUUUGAGCCCCUCUCUUUCACUAGGCAAAUGAUAUCGUUAAAAUCAUAAAAUUUAUUUUCUAGGUACUUCAAAUACUCUAGAUUAAGUUUAACGGAGCCGAUCGACAAUUCGAAGUCGCAACAUCGAAAAUGAGCUGGAAGCACGGAGCUCCGUACUUCCGAUAGCAUAGUAGCCUCACACACUCUCUCUCUCUCUCUCUCUCUCUCCUCUCUCUCUCUCUCUCUCUCUCUCUCUAUAUUAUAUAUAUAUAUAUAAUAUAUUAUAUUAUGUAGAGCUACUAUCCUAUUAAUAGGAUUAGAGCACUUGCUCCUAAACAUUAUUCCUUGGAUGGAUCGAGAGUGUGUUGGAUGAUCGGAGGAACCGUGAAGUCGAUCUACGCAUAUUGAAAUAUCUAGAAACUAAAUUUCAUAAAUUUUAAAAAUUAUUUACAUGGUGAUCAAAGUGUCGUAAAAUCGACAAUUUUUGACGGCCUAUAUGAGCCGUUUGCUUGUUUAACGGUGUAGAGCAAUCCAAAUUGCUUGAAUUUUUGAUAGAAAAUUUUUUAUACUAUUUAGAUAAUGUUUGAUAACUCUGAUUAUGAAUUGAGAAAGUCUAACCUCUAUUUUAAAAAGGUUAUUUAUUUAUGACCGUUCAUUUUUUAACUCUUAAGAUGAACUUGAUAAUGAUUUUUAAAUAUUACAAAAUUUGGUUUCUAAACAUUUCUAAUUGUGUAGAUCAAUUUCAACGGUGCCGAUUAUCAAUUUGAAGUUCCGAUCAAUCAAAACGACUUGAUAGGACAAUGGCUCCAAUCCUAUUAAUAGGAUAGCAGCCGGACUCUAUAUAUAUAUAUAUAUAUAUAUAUAUUGGGCAUUAAUUGAUUGGACCAUGAUUAAUCCUACAUGUUAUGGGUUAAAAAAGGUUUUUAUUUUUGCCUUCCUCUGUAAAGUUUCAUUGCUAUGCUAGUCAUAGUUAGUAGUGUUUAAUGUUUAAGCUUAGGUAUUAAGUAUAAUCUAUUUAGACUUAUUAUAUACCCUUAUACCUAUUGUAGCUAUUCGAUAUAGGACUAUCAAGCCUUGAGAUGUCACAAACUCCUCACAUUUUAUUCCCUGACGUUCACGUCACACAUAAUCACCUGGUGAUGUGUGAUUUAUCUUUGUCAUUCAGAACCUGACUUAACUUGUUGUUUCAAGAACCUAGCUCAGUAGCGACUCAUCUCUCCUUGUACCCUUGUCAUUCAGAAUCCUGCCUUAACUUGUCGUUUAAAGAAUCUAGCUCAGCUUAGAUUUGUCUCAUAUAUCACUAGAGACUUGUCUGUGGUUUUUAUGCUCUGAUAUUCUCGUUAGACAUAAUCACCAGGUGAUGACGUUUCUAGCUCGUCAGACUUAAUCAUUAGGUGAUGUGAGAUUUAUCCACGAUUUUUAUACCCUAAUGUUCUCAUCAGACAUAAUCACCACUUGAUGACGUUUUUGUCCUCAAAUCCUGCGACACCCUUGUCGUUGUUGCAGUUCACGGUCAUGCGCUCCACCACAGCCUACUUCCACAACCUGUGUCAUAUUCAAGCCAGUGUCGAUGGAGAUGUGGGCGAGAUAAAAAAGUGAAGCUUAGCGUUGAUUUGGAGGCGGUGGAGAAGGAGGAGAAGGGAGAUGAAAUGGGAGGAGGAGAGGAUGAAACGAUGAGGGGCAGGAAAACGAACGGAGAAGGGGAGGAGUGGAGACGAGAAGAAGAAUGAGAGAGAAACAAGAGAAAAAAGAAAAUACGAAUAUUUUAAUCAGUUUACUAAAGUUUUAAGUCUAAUUUGCAAAAUUUAAACCGGUGGUAAUAUUUUAUAAAAAUACAAAAUCGAUAAAUUUUUUUUACUAAAAUUGGCCUAAUAAAUUAUGAUGAUUUAAUAUGCUCCUAUCAUCUCGUGUCAUGAAUGUGAUUGUUUACCUUCCAAAACAUACGAAUGCACGUGAUGUCGCUUUUUCUUAUUAAGACCCCUUUUGAAUAAAAAAAAUAGUUACUUUUGUGGACCCUCUAUAUUCUAGCAGUGGUUUCAUUCGUUAAUGAUUUAUUAUUAUUAUUAUUAUUAUUAUUAUAGUUUUUAACAUUUGCGUGCAGAAAUUUCUAUUCUGAAUUUUAUAUAUAUAUAUAUAUAUAUACUAUUCUAAUAUCUAAAAUAUUUAAAAACAAUAUAAUUUUUUUCUUUUCAUAAAAGUCCGAGCGAGAUCAAACUCGCAACAUUUAUUUAAGAACAUAUUUGACAAAUAAAAAAGAUUAGCAUCUUCUUCUAUUCCGAAAAACUAAAACGAGACGUGACAUUCAAAAGUAGAACAAUUUAAUUUGAUAUUUCUACAUCUGCUAUAGAAAAAGCUAUCAAAGAAUUUGCUAUAAAAAAACACUUCAAUGCUUCUUCUAAAAGCACCAGUGAACAACACUAUAUCUUAUAGUAGAGUCAAACGAAGUAGAUACUUCGUUAGAAUUAUUUAUCCUACUACAGCGUUAUCGCAUCGUCAGUAUACGACCACCCUUGUUUACUUUGAUUAGAAAAAGAAGCUUAAGUAGAUUUUCUUAGUUAAAAAAAUAUUGAGGUGAAAAAUUUUUUUCUACUAAUUAAUGAAGCACUAAACAUACUUUGUUAUAUUGUAUGCGUGUUUACGUGUGAUUGAUUUUUUUUAACUAAGAAAAUCUACUUAAGCUUCUUUNUUUACGUGUGAUUGAUUUUUUUUAACUUUUAAUUUUUUAAUUUUUAAUUUUUAAUUUUUUUUUUGUCGUUGUAUAGUUCUUACGGUGCUUCACAUAUUCUAUUAAAAAAAAUUGAUCAAUCUUACGUAAUGGAUGACCUCUACUUUGCAUUAUUAUAUAUAUAUAUAUAUAUAUAUAUAUAUAUAUAUAUAUAUAUGACUAGUCUUAGGAGGAAAAGUUAACUAGUAAAUAAAAUGCAACAUGUUAUCUGUAAGCCGGUAACCGAUUUUGAGAUUGAAAAUAAUUUUUUGUUAAACUAAAGUUUAGGUAAAAAUUAUUUUUCCAUCGCUACUUAUUUAAUGGAAAGCUAAUGCCUUCAAAAGUGAAGUCCUUUCAUUCUCUCUGUUUAUUUUUGUAAACAUUUCCACACUAACACGCAAAAGGAUGAAAAAAAAAAUUACAAUAGUAAAUUAUUUAUUAAUUAAUUUCGCUACUGGCCAGAGCCAAAGUUAGUAUUUAUGACUGAAAAUCACUUCACUUCUCUCCAUUUUCAGUAAAACAAAUAAACCCUUCGACAAGUAGAUUUUUGAACAUAUCUAAUGAAUCAUAAUACCAUCAUUAAUAAGAAAAUGCUAAAAUUAUGGAAUGGCUAAUAAAACCUAUGCUAGAGGUAACAUUCUCAAUUAGUUGUAAUUUAUUAAAAGGUGACAAGUUGUAAGUUGUCAAAAGGUUUGGGGACAAGCUGUAUAACUAAUCCUGCAUUACAUUGUGAUGAAACAUGAGUUAUGACUACAAGGGGAGAUUAGAAUGAGAAAUGGCACAGUUCCCCUCCUGGGGGAUUCUUGUGAACAUGGAGAUUAUUGAUGCAGAGAUUGUUAGAGCAACAAAUGUGGGUACUGUAUGCUUACUGCUUUUUUAGUACUUCAAGUUGCAAAAAUAACCAAUUUACAUAAUGAUCUGAACAUGCGCGCACGCGCACACAUGGAGCCAAAACCUUUAACAUGACAAGUGCAUUUCUAUUCGAUGAGAUUAGCUUGAUCUUCCUCUGAAUCUACUUAUCCUACAGAAAGAAAGGCACCAUAAUAUGCAUGUUUAAAAUGGAAGCACUUAGUAGGCCACACAAUAUCGCCUACCGACGGGACUUUUGCUUCAGUAAUCAGUACACCUAAUCUAGCAAUGAGAGACGUAAGCCGGAUGAAAUCACAAAACAUAAAAUGGAACUAAAGAGAGGUUAAUAACAAGUUUUCUAAUUCUACAACAGACCUUAAGAAGCAAUGAAGUAAUGCAAAUUUCAUUGUCUAAGGUAGGGAAUGCAAAUCAGAUAAUAGACAUAGAUGUACAGUACAUUGUUUCUAUUGGCAGAAGACAUGAGGUUCUUUUGUGGCUUCUGGGCUUGAGACUCGGCAAAUGAAAGCGUAUUACAAGAAUACUGUAAAUGAUGGGAAAUCACGCAAUUUGUCUAGAAAUAAAUUGUGAGUUUUCUUGCCGAACAAUCAAGAAGCAAAAAAUGCAUUUCAGAGUCAAAGAUCAGCAAGUCAAUGUAAACCUGUAAGGCCUAUCAAAGCACCCGAAAAACAUGGGUGUGUAGAAAACAUUAAUGAAGAUUUAAUAAGCAAAAAUGCGACUUCAUGGCUAUCUGGGUAUGGUUUCAACUCAGAUGCAAUGAAUAUUGAACAUGCAAUUGCCGUGUGAGACAUUAGAACCAGAUAUUACAAGAACCACUGAGAACAAGCCCUACCGAACAAUCAGCAAUACAACGAUAGCCGACAGGUAGUUGGAAGUGUUACACUUUAACAACAACGGUGGUAACACAAGGAGGCAUAUAAAAUUUUGUCAUAUUUCCUUUCUCACAACAUGGUGUCCUUAAAAAUUUUUAAAAAAUAAAUAUAAAAAAAGCAAAAAAAGGAACAGGGGAAAAAGGAUACUGUAGCUAAUUAUAAAGCAAUGUCAAGUACGAUUUCAUUAUAUUUAGUGAAUGAAGUACAGCAGUAUUGCUACACACAGGUCACCAUUGUGAAUUUCUUUGAAUUUUUCAAAAAAAAAAACCUGUAAAUGAAACCUAAACCUCAUGAUGACAUGUGAACACCUACAGAGUGCUAUUCGCAUGCACAACUCCGAAUUAUUCACGUUUAAAAGGGGGAGAAAAAAGAGUAUUAAACCAAUGUGAGGAUUGUAACAGCAUUUUCUUUAGUUUACCCAUCAAAACCAGUAUGCUUCCAUGGUUCUAUUAUCAGUCCAAACAUCCUCUUGAGACCUCACUCCAUGUAAUAUAGUUGCAACAAAGAAGUAUCUACACCGUAAGUGGUGAAGCUCCUAUUUUUGUUCAAAGACAAGGAAUCAUAGAAUACAAAGAAUGGCAGCAACUAAUAACCCACACAGAAAUUUUGCCUUUGUUCUAUUUCCCGUCGAAAAGGACAUUGCUUUGGUACCUAUAUACCAUGCACAUGAAAAGUAGCAGGGAGAUAAGCUAAGACUUUCUAGAACAGUAGUUAAAAGAUAAUAAUAAUAAUAAUAAGUGAAACCAACUAAAGAUUAAGAAGUUUUGUCAGCAGGUUUCAUCAAGAUGCAUCGGUACUACAAGUUAAACAUCCAAUCCAGGCACUAGCUUACACUGCAAUAUACAAAAUGUUUGUAUUUCUGAAAAAACAUUUAUACGUAUGGUUUUUGGGCUUUUUAAGCACUUACGUAGAUAGCAUAGCAAGAAAGCAUAUAUUUACUAAAAAUUGAACAUAAGUUAAUCAGUAAGUUGAGGAUCAACUAUUUCUAUGUGGUUAAGCAUGCAAUUCAAGUGAAAUAGGGACUCUAAACAAUGGCCGGUAAGAAUGAUGGUAUAGGAACUGAUCAUAGUCAGGUAUCACUUGUAUACCUCAUUAAGGACAAUUAUCAAGGAUCUAAAUUCUCAGCGAUUCCCGCAGUGCAAGCAGAGCAGCAAAUAAAGAAGAUGAAACGUGAAUAAUUGUUGCAUGAAAUUGUGACACCCCAAUAGUCCCAGAUUGGAUAGUUAUGGCUAGAUGUAGGGGUAUAUAAGCUUGACUAGGCUAGACAUAAUAACUGGACUUAAACAUUCUGGGCUGGUGGUUUUGACCCAACGAGUUAUUAUUGCUAGCAGGCUGGAUCGUUAAAUUUGGUAUCAGAGCCAGUUCACCAGUUGGAAGUGUGAGAUGAGUCUUGGCUGAACCAGGGUCGGAAUGACAGACUAAGCCGGGGUCGGUGAUAGACAGGUUAAAUCAGGGUCAGAAUGACAAAGACUAGUGAAACAAGUCUCACAUCGCCUGGUGAUGUUGGGUUGUGUGUGUAUGUUUAAAGGCUGAUAAGGACGUCAAGGCCUAAACAGAGGGAGUCUGUGACACCCCAAUAGUCCCACAUUUGGUAGUUAUGGCUAGAUGUGGGGGUAUAUAAGCUUGACUAGGCUAGACAUAAUAACUGGGUUUAAACAUUUUGGGCCGGUGGUUUGGGUCCAACGAGUUAUUAUUGCUAGCGGGUCGGGUUAUUACAGAAAUAGGGAGUGGUAAACUAUAGGUCCAAAACUAAAAACAUUUCCUGGGAAAAUUAGAUUAACUAUUAUAAGUACAACGCCUGCAAAGAUCUCUAUACAAGGUAGAAGUAGGAUUAAUACUACAAGGCUGUUUGGUUCAAGGUUUAUAAUAUUCCUGGGAUGUUUUACAUUUUAUAUUUGGAAUGACAAGUUUGUUACUAACUUAUCAAGUCACUUGGGUUCGGAGGUUGUUUGGGGCUAAUAUAUUUUUAUUAAUGGACUACUAAUGAUUCCAAUUAAGAAUGGGAAUGGGAAUGAGAAUAUGUCCUAAACCGUGAUAAUCUAGUAUUCAUACCAGCUAGAAAUCUACAAUGAUUUCACAAUUUCACUAACACCUUUUACAACCAUCCAACUUUAAGUUGAAUGGUAAAAAUUUGAAUAUUUUUAAUAGAAAAUAUGAAAAUUAAUGAAUACUACAAACCACGAACCAAAUGGGCCGUCAUUAUCAUGCUUAGAAAUCGUAAUCAACCUUUGUCAGUAUGACACCUCAAGCCAAGUUAGCAUAGUACUGACUUCAAACGGAUGAACAAUUUGACUAACUGAAUUGAUUGCAAAAUUAAAAUAUCAAGAUCAACUUCUCUAAUACAGCUUGCCCAAAACUUUCCAGAUAGAUUAGCUGCUUAAUUAUGGUCAUCAAACUCAAUAAAUGGUAUAUAUAGUUUCUAAUUUGACUAUAUACUAUUUCAGUAAUUAUUCUAAGAAAAAAGCUCCUCUAUGUAAGAAUUUGAAGCAUUAAAGAGUAUCUUAUUAUGAUAUGCUUUAACAAUACAAUGCGCUACAGCAGUGAUAAAGCAGAUUUUAUUGUUUUGAGAAUUGAAACACAUGUUAAAUUCACAUUUCACCACAAAUGUGUCAAUAUGAAAUAGAAUCAACCAAAGAACCAUAAUAAAGUUAAUGUGCAGAUGUACCAUAAGUUAGAUAGGAUUGAGCCAACAUUUUACCAAGCUGGACUUGAGCUUGGGUGGUUAGGUGGAGGUGGUCACCUUCAAGUGGCAAUCCCUUCGCAUCGACACAUAUAACAUUAGGAAGUUUGAGCCCUUUCUGAGCUUUCCUUACAAUUUCUGUGAAGUUUCCUUCUCCUGAUGCAAUGGCAACCUAAAAUGGGGAUAUGAAGAACAUUAUAUCUCCUUGCAUAAGCGGUUCCAUGCAAAAAGAAAAAAGUUUUUGAGGUCAAAUGUGCCAAUACCUACUGAGCUUUUGACGAAUUAUGAUAACCUUGUUAUCCCCAUUUGAUUGCAAAUAGUUUAUCAUGCACUGAUUAUACCUGAUUUUUGUGAUGCAACACUAGGUGAAUUUUUCAUCCAAUAUCCCUGAGGUCUGUUAGGGACUGCCUGGCACGUGGCAGUUAUAAUUUAUAUUACCAUUUUGUCUCCUCUUCCUCCGACGCGUGAUUAAUUGUAGAUAAUUAAUCAUCAUGUUACUGUAAAUGAUCCUUUACUCAUAUCAAAUGAGAAAACUGGACUAAAAUCAACAUUCUAAUUAGUUUAUGUCACCAUGCCGAUCUACACUAAUACCAGGGAUAUUGAAUGGAAGCAAACUCAGGUGUGACAUAAAUAUAAUAAUGAUAAAUAAUAAUAUUUCCUGAAAUUUCGAGUAGUCAAUCUAUCGGAAAAAAAAAUAUAACUACAAGCACACAUGUAAAGAAUUUUUUUUUUUUUUGGAUAAGAGCCCUCGACAGAUAAAUAAACAUUCAAUAUAAAAAUAAUCUAAGAAAACACAAACGAGGGUGAUAUUUUAAUGGUACUAAAAUAUUACAAAAUAUAAUAAUAGUAUGCGUAAAAACAAAUCUAUAAAUAUCAUGGAUAUCAACCGUUACAUUUAUUCUUUGGGACAAUUGCUUAUAUAUCCCUGAAUAAUUUCCGACUUUCUUAUUUACUCCGUUUAGAAGGCUCAUAUUAAAAAAAAACCCUUUUAGCUUUCCAAGUUCUUUCAAAUAUACCCUUAAAGUUAGAUUCUAUUAGUGAACUGUUAGGAACAACCAUUAUCUUUAUAAAAUUGCUAUUUUGCCCUUUCAAAUAUACCCUUUUAUAUCACCAACUUUUCUUAUUUGCUCUUAAGUUAGGGACAAAAGAGGUAUUUUCACUUCUUUUUUUUAACUUUGAUAGAAGUUUAAUCCGAAUUUAACCUGAGAUGACUUAACGGGUACUGACAGCAGGAAUAUUUUUGAAUAACAGAAAAAUAUAUGAUAGGUAUAUUUGAAAUAAAAAAAUGUAGGGACAAAUAAGAUAUUUCAGAAGUAUCGAGGGGUAUAUAUAGGCAAUUAUCCCUUAUUCUUUACACUUUCGAAUGAUAUACAGCCACAAAAGUAAGUUUUAACCCAACCCAACCCAACCCAACCCAACCACCAAAAUAAACAACAAAAUAUAAUAAGUUUUGUUCUAGUGACGUGCAGUUAUAAACAUAUAGCUAAGUGAAAUAACAGAGUAUAUGGCAAACACAUAGCAAUUUCAUAGCAAGCAAAUGGCAACAAGUAACUCGAGCAACUAUUGGCUGCAUCAGGUUUGUUUGUACACACUUUGCGCCGUACCAAACGCACAUUCUCACACUUAAAUCUUCACCAUCCAACCCACUAUCGGGGUGUUCACUUCACGGUUUGUAAUAUUCUGAAAAAUCUCUACAUUUUCUAUCCAAGAUAUUCAAAUUGUCACUGUACAGCUCAAAUUGAAAAGUUGUAAGAGGUGUUAGUGCAGUUGUGAAUAGUCCAUAAACAAGAAUACACUAAUUCCUAACAACCUCUCAACCCGAGCGGCGUUGGUAACAAACUUAAUAUUUCAAAUAUAAAAUAUACAUAUUUCCGAAGCUAUACGCCAAUAAAAUGAACGAACGACCGUAUAAGAUUACCGUAACUUUUAAAUUACGUAAAAGAAAAGAGAAACACUUAUUAGGGUUCAUGAAACGUGUGACAUAAGAUGAAUGAUUUGCACGUGCAGGUGCACGAGAUGUACGGACCUGGAUGAAGAGGAGCCCGGGCAAGCCCAGAUCCGACCGUAGAUCAAGGAUCAUCGUCUCCAGUUUCCCACCGUACGAUUCGGCGUCGCUUCGCUCCACCGUGUCGCUCUCCCCCUGAUACCACAGCACCGCCCCCAACCUCCUCGUCCUCCGCCCCUCUCCCCGCUCCAACGCCGCCCUGGCGCGCCGCACCAUCGCCGCGUAGAGCGGCGCCCCCCGCGCCCACUCGUCGAUCCGCGUCCCCCCCACCGCGCACGGCACGAGCCCGAUCGCCUCCGCCCCGGGCCCCUCGGCGGCGGCGGUGGCGGCGGCGGAGCGGCGGAGCGCGGAGGCGAAGGGGAGGCCGGGGCCGACGCCGCAGGGGCGGGCGCGGUCGAUGUCGGCGUGGAGCGGCUCCCGCGCCUCCUCCCACCGGAGCGCGGCGCUGAGGCGCAGGAUCGAGGGGCUCGGCCGGCACUCCGGCGGGACAUCCCCGUCCCACCGGUCGCCGACGACGCCGCCGCGCCCCGCCAUGUUCGACUGCCCCGCGAGCACGAAGACCACCAUCUCCUCCUCCACCUCCACCUCCGCCUCCGCCUCCGCCACCGCCGCCGCCGCCGAGGCGAGGAGGAGGAGAAGGGAGAGGAAGGAGAGGAGCAUCGCCACCUCUCUCUCUCCCCCCCCUCUCUCUCUCUCUCUCUCUCUCUCUCUCUCUCUCUCUCUCCUCUUGUUUGGGUUUGGACUUUGGAGUUUGGAUUCGUUCAGAGGGGGAGAUUACGGGGAAAGAGAGUAGCUUUGUGAUUUGAUCGGACGGUGGAGAUGAGGCGACAUCAUCAUCAAGCGUGGCGCACGGUCGGUGACCACGGUUGGUGUUUGACACCGGGUCAAAGGAGUCAACCUAAUUAAUCCUUUUAUUAGCAGCUUAAUUACUCCUUUUUAAAUUUGUGUACAUCACAUGUCAUCAACGAGGGCUCAUUCUUUCCGGGAGAGCUCAUUCCUUCCAGCUCUGCAUGCCAGAUUUUUUUUUUUUUAUUUUAAUUUUAAUUUUUUAUUUUUAUUAUUAUUUGUUUGAACUCGUGUGUCUAAAACAGCGUGGACCGAAUUGUUGGAUGAUCGGCUAAUCUAGCGGUCAAGGUUGAUUCAGCCUCGAAUAAACGGCGAGAUUUUCCUACACGCAACAUAAUUUUGUGCAUAAAAUUUAAAAAAAAAAAUAUGUAUCUCUUACCAACCACAUUCAAAGAAAAAUGAUUUAUAUCGAAAUAUUUUUAAAAAUAAUAAUAAAAAUAAUAGGAAAGUGGUCUCUCUCAGGGACGGAGCCAUGUGGGGCCGACAAUGGUCAUGGUCCCUCCCCCCUACAUUUUUAAAAUUACAGAACAAUCCGCUAGUAAGCUAUUAAAAAAAUUAAAAUAUUGUAAAUUUAGGGGACCAAAGUGAAAAUUUUGAAAAGAAUUGUUGGCUUGUGGGCUAAGACUCCAAGGCUUACGCACAGGGACAGCCCAUAUAUAGCCCAAAGGAGUUAUGGCCCUCUUCAACUUUUUAAUAUUUACUUUAUAGUCCUUUGGUAGUUUAUAUAUUUUCAGUUAAUUUUUAAAAUAUAUCGGCCUAUUUUGUAAAAAGUUUUUAGUGCUAAUAUAGAGCUCUCUUUCUCUUCUUAUGUGUUUUAUAGGUGAAAAUAUAUUAAGAACCUUUUAAUUAUAAUGCAUUUUGAAAUAAGUCCUUUCAACUUUAAUUAUUUUAUUUAUACAUUCUUAACUUUCCAAUUAUUUUGAUGAGCUAAUUUAUUUAACUAAAUAAAAUUGUAUGCUAAAUUUAAUAGCUCUGUUAAAUAUUAGUCAUUGGUUGUUAUUAUUUUAUUAACAAAAAAUUAAAAAUUUAAAUUCUAAUUAAAUUGCUAUUAGAUUUAGUAAAAUUCUUAAAUUAUUUGAAUGAAAUAAUGCAAAUAAAAUAAUUAGAAGUUAAGCAAGUAUAAAUUAAAGAAAUAAAUUUAAUAUUUUUUAACAUUAAUUAUCUAAUCACUAAAUUUUUUUAUUAAAAAUUUGAGUAGUUAAAAUUUUAUUUAUCUGCUAAACUUUUUAUUUGUACAUAUUUUGGCCCCCCUGUGAUUGAAUUUUGGCUUCGUCCCUGGUCUCUCUCUUAAGGUUUCGUCAUUAUUUUGUUCAUUUUUUAUAAUUUAUAUCGAAAAUAUUCUUAGAAAUAAUAAAAAUAUAUUAAAAAAAUAUUUUUUUCUUAUAGAACAAAUAAGAGCAAUUUGGUUAUUUUAUGUUCUCCAUUAGCGUUGUAACUUUCUGAAAAUAUUUUUGAGGAGACAAAAAUAAAAAAAUAAAUAUUUAUAGAAAGAUUUUUAGUAUUUUAAUAUUUUUUUUUUGAGAGAGCUACCCGCUUCGUUUAUUUUUUUUUAUUAUUAUUAAACACCCAAAAGGGUUGGAUGAAUCUUAAAAGUUUAAGGCUUAGGUUUAAGCCAACUAGUCUAUAAAAUAAAAUAUAAUGAAUCCAUAGAUUUCAAGCUCUCUCCGCAAUUCAUUAAAAAAGUGGGCCCCUCCCCUCUCUAAACCUAUAUAAUUAUUCUCUUAAUUAGCAGAGCCCACAUUCUCUCUCUUCUUAAUUAGGAUGUUAGUGUAGGCAUGGAGUCCCAUAUUCUCUCUUCUUAAUUAGGAUGGAGCUCACAUUCAUUCUAUUCUUAAUUAGGAUGUUAGUGGAGGCAUGGAGCUUAUAUUCUCUCUUCUUAAUUAGGAUGGAAUUGCUUCCUUUCAAAUAUUUCUCACGUUCUCUCUCUUAAUUAAGGUGGGGUUAAUUUCCUUCUAAAUACUUCUUACGUUAAUUCGUCAAGUAAUAAAACCAAUCCCAACGAAAUCACAUUUUUAUUUUUUCUCUUCUCUUUUAUUCUUGCAUUAAAUUAUGUUUUUUUAAUUUCUAUCAACAAUUUUUAUUCUCUUAUUGUUUAUUUUUUGUUUUCUUUCUUUGUUCUCCGCUGGAUUAUAUUUUCAUUCUAAAAAAUUUUUUAAUAUAUUUUUUAUAUUAUUAACCAAUCAAAUAUUAAUUAUUUUUUACUAUAUUUUUAUAUUUUAUUUGUAUAUUUAAUUUAUAAUUUAUUAUAAUUUUUGUCCGCCGCAUCGCGCGGGUUCCUACACUAGUAUAUAUAUUAAUUUUUUAAUCUCUGCUUAAUUAUCCGACGUGGAAUUAUUCACAUAUAAACCCUUAAAAAAUUCAUCGCCCAUAAAAUAUUAAAUACAUUUGAAAUACAACUCUGAUUAUUUUUUUGAAACAAAGAUAGCAUGUUACCCACUUCAUUCAUUAAAAAUAUGAAUUAGGUGAAAUAAGUUGAGACAGCGAGGGCCUCGUUAUGGGCGUAUCGGCCCAAAAAAAAAAAAAAGGAUAUUUCCUGUUAUGGUAGGAAGGAGAAAGGAGAUUAUUAAAUGCAUAUCUUGUUAUGGUACAACUCUGGUUAUUAAAUGCAUAUCUUGUUAUGGUAGAAGGGAGAUUUCCUGAUAUUUUCUCUCUACCCUCCUUUCCUGCUUAUAAUUAUUUUAUCUAUUAUCAGUAUAUGAUAAUAAAAUAAAAAAAAAAUAAUUAGCUGUAAAUUAUUUAAGAAGGCAUUAAGGAAUGUCUAAAUUUGUGUUUCCUAAUCACAAACAAGAUUUUCUAUAAAAAUUUUCGCAGAACUACCCAAAUAAUAACAAUAAAAAAAACGUACCACGAACUCCAAAUUUACAGAGACAUAAUUUUUCCAUAAAAUGUCACACGGGAUGACCGCGCCGUCCAUUUUUACAUAAAAUAGACUCUACUUUGUACAGAGUCUACCAAUCAGAAGAAAAUUUCUCCAUUUUGUCCAUUACAGAACAUCCAAUUUACAUCACUUGAAGUUCUGUAAGUGACAGGAAAAAGGAAAACUAAUUGAAAAAGAUUUGUUCAUGUUAUCCAAGUUUGAGGAAAAUGUGAUCCAGAAAUGAUCAAACAGAUCUUGAAUCUAGCAAACAUGCACCCUUGAGUGCGAGCAGCGCGGCUCCGAAUGCAGCCUCCGUCUGCCACGCUUUACUGACGGGCAGGCCGAGCACCCUCUCCCUUAUCUUCAUCCAUUGCUGAUUCUUCGCGCCACCCCCCGCCGUAAACACUUCCUCCACCUCCGUCGCCCCGAGCUCCUUCAGCAGCUUGUAGCCCUCAGCCUUGUCAGAAAAACAAAGUAUCACUAGAUACCAAUGCAACUCCGAAGAAUUGGGAUUGUAGUAGUUAUGAUGAACUUUUCGGUGAGGAUAGUUACUUACCUCGAUCCGUGCGAUGGAUUCGAAAAUUCCAUGCAAGUAUUCUACGUCGCGUUCGGGUCGUGGAUGUAACCUUCAUAAGCAUGCGAGCACGAAAAGAAGUAGUCAUAUGGUUAUGUAAUCAUAACUUUUCGUCGAGGUGAUUUCUGAUAUACUAAAAAAUCUACUGACAGAGUAUGAAGUUAUUAGCUAUCAUGUAAUGGAAAAUUGAGCACCUGGGCAUCAUAUCUGGGUCAGAGACGGGAAACCUCUCGCCUUUUUUCGGUAAGGGAUAAUAAUCAAGAGGCGACGGUACCGAAGGAUCGAUCUCCUUACUCAAUUCCUCCAAUUGUUCAUCAGUGAAAAGCUGUCGCAGAACAGCACCUCCAGUGUUUGAGGCACCGCCGACGAGCCACUCGUCGUCGAGACGAUGGCUGUACACGCCGAACCUUGCGUCAUCGACACGAGUUGUGCUUAGGAGUUUGAUCGCAAGCGUCGAACCCAACGAUGUUACCUAAUGAAACUUGAACAAGAAUAUACUAGUAAAUAUACAGAGCUAGCAUGCGGGAUUAGUUAAAAAUUUAGUCCAUGAAAUUUCACCCCAAAUUUCGUUAACAAUCUAGUCUUCAAUCUCCUCCAUUAGUCAAUUGUUGCAAAAUAUGGAAAAAUGCAAUGUUAAAUUAAUGGAAUGACAUAAAAAGUUAAUAAAUUGUUACAAUUGAAACUCUAGUGAUGUAAAUGACAUUUUGUUUAAACUAGGGAGACUAUAUUGUAUUAACCUUAACUUUGUUUAUCUUCAUAAAGUAAAUGAGUUACAUGAAGAAAACUCACAGCUUUUCCUGGUUGUGUAGCGCGAGCUGCGAGGAAAGCUGCUAUACUAUCAGUUGUUCCAGUACAGACAGCACAGUCCUUCGGAAACCCUAGCAGAAAGUUUGAAUAUUUAGUUUUAAUUCUUUUAUGCGCAUCUGACAUGUUACAGGAAAGAAAGCAUAGGCAGAGAUCUAAUCACUGAUCAGAAAACUCAAGACCAUUUGCGGCAUACUACAUGCAUCUUUCAAAUAACUACUUAAUAUGAUGCGUAAUCGAAAAAAAGAUAAAAUGGAUUGCAGUAGACGGAACAGAUUCCCCGCAUACCAUCUAUUACGGAAAUUGGACACUAAACCUCAUAGAUUAUUAGCCAAUGGCUUGAAAAAUCAGGAAACCUCGAGCAAUUGCUAACUUUAUUUGUAAAUAUAAGACUAGGAUAACUUUAUAACUAUUUAACUACGGAGUUAUCUUCUGCCCUGCAAUAAGAUUUCAGAAAAUGGAAAUUCAAUCUGAAAGAAGGCAUUACCAUACUGCAAUGUAAUGUCUUCUUUUACGGAACCGACAGGAGUUCCAGGUGCUUUAACAGAAGGCAACAUAUAUGAAAAUGGCUGAGACAGCAACCAGCUCGGAUAGGAGUCGGUCUCUGGGUCAUAUCCUACCUGUGAUAAAGCACGAAUAAUAUAAAUAGGUAAACACAUCUCUGGUCCUAUAGGUUUCAUUCGUCCGAAAUUCUAAAAAAAGCUAAUAGUAAACAAGUGAAAGAUACAUGUUCAAAGUGCUGAUAAGUUAUGAAGCGAAAAGAACUACCUUCAAGGCAUUGUUGUAGUCAGAAACACCGAACUUUCCAUGUAAAAGCCAUAAGAGCCAAUCCGAUUGAUGCAUCAGUAAAGCCGGGUCUUGGUCCGAGUUGUUCGAACUCCACCACGAUACAAGCUUGCAUAAAGUGGAUGACCCAGAGCACACAGUGUGGUUCUCUGGAGCAAUGGAUGUAACGGUCGGUAGAGCAUCGGGAAAGCUUUCAUUGUAGAGAAAAGGUCCGGAUAGUAGCUCUCCUGUUUUACUAGUUGAAGAAAUUUGAACAUCUCAUCAGAAAAGUGUUACCAAAAGCAGAAUUUCCGACUUGAAGCAUUUGCUUCUGCUGCAACGAGAAUCCGUUGAGAAGGUUUUUAUGAAAAAGUAUCUACUGCUUGUUUGAACAGCUCUAUUCAAACAGCACCUUUGCAAAAGCACAGGCUAAGCCAAACAGGCUCACGAUACAGAAGGAACCUUAAAUCUGGUUAUCCACCUAUCAAUUAUGAGGGUUGUUGCGGAAGUCCCAUCGAUGGAUAUGGAAGCAAUAUACGGUCGAUAACUCGCCGGAAUAUCAUCAAGAAGUGAAAAUAGUGUUUCUUUCCAAGAGGUCGCCCAGUUUACGGUGUUGCCAACCUGCCUAGCGGAACAAUCAGGCAAUAUAAGUUCGUCAAGAAGACAAAUGCCGAAAAUUCAACGCUAGAAUGGUUCCUACAAAAUAUGCGCAUCACGAAACUAGAAUUGAAGCCAAAACCAUGAUUUAGGUGCUAAUUUUAUGCAAAUUUGGAGUCAGAAACCAAUGUCCACUGUGGCAUAGGAAAAGAGAACUAACACAUCCAUUAUCAACGCUAACACGCGGGACAUGAAGUAGAAACUUAAACCUUAUUUGAAGUACAAGCAUUUAGUCUAGAAGAUCAAUGAUUUCUGAAAGUCCACAAGAAGCUUUCUCAAAUCAUAUGUAUAUAAAAAAAAAAAAAGAGUCUACAAGUACUCAUAUUUUUAAGGUCCAGAAGAUCCAUGCUUUAGAUUCAAAUUUUGACUCAUCGAAUUUGAUUUAAAAAGGCCAAAGUAUGCAAAGCAUAUAUCAAACAGAAUGUUAUAGUAAGGUUAAUUAAUUUGACAAAUAUAAACCUUUAAAGAUAUCAAAAACUAUACACUAAACAAGGAAACUUACCAAACUUUUUGGAUAGUUUCUCUUUCUUUCGGAAUGAAUGGUUCCUUGCUCAUCUAUAAGAGCAUAUCUAGCACCAGAUGUUCCGAAGUCUAUCCCAAGGUAAAGUUGUUUGUUUCCACCACUGCGCCCUGUUGCGUAAUCUCGGUCACUCCGAAAGCGAAUAAUCCUUAUUCUUGUUGAUAAUGUAGAGCUAUAUCUUCUAGUUUUCCUCAAUAAACAGCACUCUGAUAAACAAACAGAAGAGAUUGAAUGAGUAAAGAUGAACUAAGUAAGUUCCACCAGGAAAAGUCACUGCCACAGAUAGAAAAGGUAUCUGCAUGGUUUAAGUGUCAAAAUUUCAUGUUUGAUGAAUGAAUAUAUAGCAGCAUCUUUUACUGCAAAGUCAUUUUAAAGAUGUGACUCAGCUUACUGAUGUGAAUUCUAACAUGUACUUGUUUUCUUUGCUGAAGAUCCCUAUAAAUUCAUCUUGGUUAUUCAAGAACCUGUCUAUUGUACUAGGUUUUUUGUACUUCAAUCAAAUCAUCUGAUCCUAGAUUUAAAAAAAAAAAAAAAAAAAAUAACAUCAGUUAGAUAAGAAUAUCUGAUUAAACUCAGGGUUUCAAACAACAGGACGCUGAAGCACUGCUAAAGUAGUAUACUUGGUCCCUUGCCAUUCCCUUUUAGGCCCUGUUUGAAUGUCGGAUCAAAUUAUCCGAGAAUAACUUAUUCAGUAUUAUGAAUUUUUUUUUAAGGUGAUUGUAAAUAAGGAAUUUCACUUUUCUUUUUUCUUUUCUCUUUGAAAGGUUUUAUUAUCUACGAUUCGGUAGGACAGUAUAUUUUAUUUACGAGAUGAUUUAUUCUUAAAAAUGACUUAAAAGCCGAAUAUAUAUAGUAUCACAUUUUAGACAUUUAAUCACGCUCCUCAUCUACGAAACGUACAAGUUUUUGGAGAAAAUCAGAAAGAUAUAUACCGAAUAAGAUAUUCAUGCGUCCAACCAAAGUCGUCGUAGGCCUCGUUUGGACGUUAGAACAAUAAAGUUUCCAGUAAUAUCUCACGCAAUAUUUUUGUUUGUGAUUGCAAGCUACGAGCUUAAUUUUACCUCCUUAGAAGGUCUCAAUAAUAUUGCCCCGUACCUAGCUAGUACAGUUGAUUAAAAACUUAACGGUUGUAUCUGAAAAGAUAUGCCGAAUAAGAAAUUCAUGUAAUCAUUGAACCAAACAUGGCCUUGGUCAUAUAAAUUUUUUGAUCAAUUUUAACUAGUGUUAAUUAUGACACAACAUUGAAUGGGAGACUAAUUUAAUUUGUUUGGGUUUUUGAGACAUUUUGGGUUGACGAGAAUUCAAUUUACCUUGUUGAGAAGGGAGGCGGAGGUGGGAGUGCGGCGUUGGCCGGAACGCGAUUCCCAACAUCGCGCUCUCGCGCUGAAACUGCUUCUCGGAGCAGCUCAAAUUUGGAGACUCUGAAGCGUGGUGUCAGGAUAAGGAACGCUUGGACGGGCACACGCGGAAAGUCACUAAAAUUUAGGGCUUUAUUGCUUUUAGCCCCUUAAAAAAAGAUAAUUGCAUAAUAGGCCCAUUAAAUUUAUAUUUGUAAGACUGGUCAUAUUCCCAUCACGUAGCAGCCACAUAAGUGCCACGUGAGUGUGGCUGGCAGCCCAGGGUUUCAACUAAAAGAACCAUUCACCGUAUUUAGAUAUCGUGUCAUUUUCAUAUUUACCGUGUUUAUUGUAUUGAACGUUGUAUAAGUUAAGUUUGAACACGGUGAAUGGUUCACCGUGUUCAACUUAACCGGCCACGCUCAUGUGGUGCUCGCGUGACGCUUGCGUUGCGGGGAUAGGACCAAAUCUUGCAAAUAUAAAUUUUGUGGGGCUAUUUGUGAUUUUUUUUUUAGAGGGGCGCUAAAAGCAAAAAAGCUCUAAAAUUUAAAAGCAAUGCUACAGGUACACUCUAAAGUGGGGUGUAUAUCUCACACCAACUCAAUCCAAGGUCAUUAUUGUCACAUCAAUUUUUUUAAAAUUUUACUAAAAAUUAAUUCAAUUUUUAUCAAUCCUAAGAUUACAGGUGUAAGAUGUACAUCCCUUUUUGGGGUGUGCAAGAAGUAUUUUUCAAAAUUUAAUAUGGGUUAAUUACAUACAGCUCCCUAUAAACGUAUUGAAUAGCACAUAUACCCUUAUAAAAUUCAACUUUUUUAUAUUUAUUCUUGCAAAAAUUCUUACAUUUUCAAAUAUAUCUCCGCUAUUAGAAUCCGUUAGAAAAAUAUAGUUAACCAUAAGUAAAAUACUUAACACUGAUUAGUAAAUGAGAUAAAUUAACCCUUUUACCCCUCUUAUAUUAUUUGUGAUAGUAGAAUGGAAGAAAAUGACGACGGCUGGAGAUUUUUGGGAGAAAAUUUUUGCAUAAUUCUAAUAGUUGGGGAUUAUUGGAGGCACAUAUUUAUAAUGACAAAAAUAUGAUUUCACUUAUCUUUUUUAAAAAAAUAAAUAGUGUUCUAACGAUAAUAAACUAAAGGAGCAUAUACGAAUAUUACUGGACUUUUGCAUGAAUAAAUAUAAAAAGUUGAACUUUGUAAGAAUAUAUAUAAAUAUCUAGGUUGAAUUGAAUUUUACUAGUCACAUCAAUAUGACUAGUGAAAAGUUUUAUCCUAGAAUGAAUAGGAUGUAUAUCAUACACCCCCCAUUGGGGUGUAUGAGUAGUAUUGCUCUUUAUUAUGACACUUUAAUUGGUGCCCAUGCAUGUUAUUAUUUUUAGUUUGAAUUUUUUGAAUUAUUGCAAUUAAAUCUCAGCUUCUAACUUAGUUGGCUAAUGUAAAUGAGUUGUUAAAAGUGAUAUAGUAGUGUAUGAUUGAUGACGCUAUAAUAAUUAGGAUGUCACAUCACUUUCACAUUAGAGAUACAUUAAUAUUUAGUUAAGUAAAUUAGAUUAUGAAACUUGAUUGUAACAAUUUACAAUAUACGAAUCAAAAAUUAUAAUAAAUAAAUAUUUGAGAACCAAAAUGUCACGAGCCCCAUAGUUUGAGGACCAAUUGUGUACUUUUGCUUCAAAACCAUAUGAAGCAUGAUUCUUUGGUCUCCAACUUUAAUUUAUUAUAUUUUUUUACUUAAUUUUUUCAGAUUGUUAAAAUUAAGCCUUAUGGUGUAACUCACUUGAUUAAAUGGUCAUGUAAUUACUAACACAGUAAUGAUGUGACAUUAUUGUGAUUGCAACAUGAGUAAAACUCAUUACUACGUACUAUAUCAAUAGCAUGUAAUCAUAUAAUCAAUUAAAUUGCACUGCAAAAAUUGAUUACAAUAAUCUAAAAAUUUGAUCAAAUAAUUAUAAAAAGUGAAAAACUGUCUUCAUAGUUUGAGAAUCAAAAGUGUAACUUAUAAGCUAGCCAUUUCAUUUUGAUCCUCCAAUUUGAAUUGAUUUGUCAAAUUAGAUGACUCAAAAUUUUUAAAAUAUUCUAACCUUUCAUUUUGUCCCGCUGAUUGGUUCCAUCAUUCGUAAAAAUAGAAACCUAACUUGGCAUGCUAAGUAAUUAUCUCUACAUCCAACAAUCCAUAUUUCUAGUAAUAUUAAUAAGGAAUGAUAAUCACACUAAUGAAGAUUUAGGGUCUAGCGUAUUUAAUGAACAAAAUGUGAAUUAAUAGUUUAUUUACUAUCAUCCAUUAUAUCUAGCACAGCACAGUUAAUUAAGAGUUUGAUAAUUGAUUUCUGAGAUACCUUCUUUUUUUUUUUUUUUUAGCUUAGUUUAUUUCUCUUGUCAAAAAAGUAUAUAUUUUGUUUACUACGUACAACAUCAUUAAAAGCUUUAUAAAGACCCCACUAGUACAACAUUUCGAUUGAUAGUGUAUUUACAAUUCAAAAAAUUUUAGUUCUUUAUUAAAGCAAAAGUUAAUCAUUCUACGCAAUUAAAAUAUUAUAGAACAAUAGUUCUAUGAAACGACGUCUUGUUGGACGUUACCCUUUCCGCCGUUGAAUAGUACCUACUUAAAUGUUGCUUGAAUAUUAGUGUCAAAUUAUUCAAAAGGGGUGAUUUUAUUUGUACCUCUUUAAAGGUUUAAAAUAUCAUAAGUAUCUCUAUAAACUCAUAUAUAUAUAUAUAUAUAUAUAUAUAUAUAUAUAUAUAUAUAUAGACACACACACACACACACACACACACACACACAGAUAAAUUCAUGGAUUCUAUUGUUAAAACAUCCUUAUAUCAACUACCAUCAUCAUAGGUAUCAUAUUAGUUGGAUCUGAGUAAUGAAUAAAUUUUAUAUAUAUACAUAAAAAAAAAAACAAAAGUUCAAUAUCUCAAUCCCAAAUUAUGUAAGUUGAGGGAGUCACUUCAGAAUGACCUAUAUAGGCAUUUGAAUGCCAAAACUUCGAUAGUACAACGAUUAUAUAGGAUGCAUCCAAUUGGAUGAUCCCUGUUCAAUCAAUGAAUAGUAUUCAAAUUAAUCUGCUUGAAGAUUCGUGUCAAGUUAUAUAAUAAAAGAAAAGAAUGUGUCGACCCAUGAAAUUGUUUUUGUCCCAUGCAUUUUUAUAGCCUUGCUUUGAUCUCUUUAAAAAGCCAUAUGAAUGGGUCCCAAAGCAGAAGACAAAAGGAAUUAUAUUUGCACCUUUUCGUAUGCUUUUUUUGAUGUUGUCUAUGUGACUUUUGAAUCAAGCUUAGAAGUAUAAGUUGCACCUUCCUCUAUAGCCUAAAAGUAAUCUUCUAAUUCUUAAAGAUAUUAAGAUACUGCAUGAACCCGAAGAUGAUGGAGAAAAUAUACAGCAUUAUGUGCAGAUGAAUAAAUACAUGCAUAUAAUAAUAAUAAAGAUUAAAAAUAUCAAUCUCAUGGUAUUAUUAUUAUUGUCCUUUUUUAUUUUCUUAAAUAAGAAUCUUAUGUUAUAAAGUAUCCAUGUAACGGCGGAGAGCCCGCAGUUUAUAUAGUAUAUCAACUAAUGAUGAGAAGAAAAGAGAUUUUCGUAUGCCAAUGUUACAUGUAACAACAUAAAAUUUACAUUUAAACAAAAAGACAAUGACAAUGUUGAUCGAGAUUGCAGAAAAGUUUAGGUUUGUUAUCGUGUCUUACAUAGUCCACCGAUAAAAAUGAGUAGUGGACUAGUAUGGGUAAAACUCUAUUAAGGAUUGUAGAGAUUACAAGGUAUUUAAUUUGUGGCGUAUUCUCUAUCAUGCAUUAUGUAUAAAUGAUUAGCAUUAAACAAAUUAAAGGGAAACUUCAAGCGAAGCCCCUAUGGUAUGGAAUGAUUAUAUUUUGGCAAAAAGCAAUGCUAAUUGUAUACUGAAAAUUGGAGACUUAUAAAAUUUACAUCCAACAUUUUGAAUAUACAAAUAACAUUUCUCUCAUAUUUUACCUCCCUUUUUGUAGCAACAUCCAAACUUCCAGGGCAAAAAGAGAUUUAGUACGUACUCUUCUUUAUAAAAGAACAAGAAACAUGAACUUAUGUCAAACUAUAUAUCGAAAAACAGAUGUAUUUUAAAAAAAUAAUAAGUCAAAUCAAUCGAAGAACUUGUACAAUCAACUUUAAACAAAAUAUACAUAAGCAUUUGACGCUGUUAAAUAUGAUGUACGAUAUAAAAUAUUGUAGUCUAUAUAGCAACAAAAAUCAUAGCUCGUACAGUUCUACAUAAAUCAUCAAGUGAGCAGUAUAUUUAUUAACUAGUUGAUAGAACAAUUGUUUAACAUUUUAGAACAAUAUGUACAAUUUUAGUCUUUUCUUUUUGAAUUUAAAAACCAUCAAAUCAAUAUGCAGGGUUUCACACACUCCUACUUGCCUUCUUUAUCUGUCAUAGAAGUACUGCUGGUCAGUUAUCACAUAACCCUAAGCCAGAAAAAUACUUACACCAAUGCACAUCUCAAACCCUAAUUUUUGUAACCAACAUUUAAGUAAAACUAUCAUAAGUAACAAAGUCCAAAUUUAAUACAACAAAACAUGAUUCCUUUCUCAAUGUCCAAAGUGGACCAAAACCAACAGCUAGCUAGCAUAGACAAAGUAAAUAUUAGUUUUAUUCAUUUUGCUAUUAUAUGGUGAGAGUGUUACACCCUCAACAGUAAGAAAUUAAGAUCAAAUUUUCGUACACAAUAAUCGAUCAACUAACUCAAGAUUUGUAUACUACGACAAAUUUAAACGGUCAAAAAUAAAUCUAGCCAUUCAAAAUCAUGAUUGUGCAGAAAGCUAAUAAAAUUGCGCGUAACAGUAUCAUUAUUAAUCUUUUAUUAUGCCAUACAGUAAUUGGUGGUGUAGAAAUUAAACUUUAAUUUGUUACUUCACAAUAAAAGCUAGAUGAUGCAGUCCUACCAUCAUUUGCUAAUUAUCAUUUAUGAAAUUAAAAAAGAAAAACAAGGAAAUAUAGCAUAUUAAUGUAAGAAAAGACACUUUUCUCCUCAAAAUUAAUGUAAGACAGACACACAUGCAUAUACAUACACACAGACACACACACAGACACUCACACACACAAAAGUACACUUAUAUUUUUUAUGAGUUACAGAUUCACAGACAAGCAAAUUGAGUAAGUAGCAGCAAUUUAAAGUAGAUUACAAGCUGGAUCAUUUAAUUUGAAGGAGCAAAAAUAGAGUGCUAAAAAGAAAUGGAAAUAGAAGUGCAACUAAUUACAACCAUUAACCAUGGAAUUAGUUAUCAAAAUUAGCAUUCUAAUAUUUGGACAUGUAACUACACAAGUAUCUCUCCCAACACCAUAUCUUCCUAUUCUCAUUUUCUUAGAACUCUGAUCAUUAAUAUAUAGUUUGCAUGCAUUAAGAACACAAGAUUAAUUUCUCAUGUAUCUAGAUUAAUUGUGGAGUCAUGUGUAAACUAAACUCUACAUUCAUUAAUCCUCCACUCUGACAACUUGCCUAACUUAGCAUUGUAUUCUUAUGAUACUCACCUAUACACAUGUAGUAUACAUUAUCAUAUAAAACUAGAGAGGGAGAGACAGAGAGAAUGCAGUUGGUAUAUUACAAAAUCAUGGUCAAUUAAUAUUUUGAUCUUUUGAUCAGAAGGAAAUGGUGAGAGACAAAUGAGAAAUAUUAAAGCAUGUGUCCUAGCUUCACUAAUUAAUGUACAAUCUCUUCUUUCAUUAAUUCCCCUUCUUUCCUAUAUUCAGCCUUUCUUUCCUAUAUUCAGCCUCAGAAGAGGGGGAGCAAAUGAUUUGAAGGAUAAAAUUACUACACCCAUCAGUUCCAACCAUCAAUGCAGCUUCAAAACUCAACACAUUAAUUGCUCAGAGAGAGAGAGAGAGAGAGAGAGAGAGAGAGAUUCAUAUAUGAAGGUCAUGAUCUCCACAGCUAUAAUAUGUUAAUGAGUAUAUUAAAUCUUGGUGUUUCCUUACUUCAAUGCCAUGCACACAGCAUGGAGAACGGGCUCCAAUAAAAAGCAAAAACAAAACCCUCUAAAGAAGUUGCCAAUGUAAUUUAAUGCUUCUCUUUGCGCUUAAAUUCCUUUAGUCUACUGCUUGUUUUGCCUGUAGAUGAUCAUCACUCUCAUAAAACAAGCAAAGAACUUAUAGCGAGAGAGAGAGAGAGAGAGAGAGAGAGAGAGAGAGAGAUGUGUUGAAGUUAACAUGUAACCAAUUAAACCCUAACAAACUAGCAAGCUGAUCUUCAAUGUCCAAACUUGUUUCUUUCUCUCUCUCUCUCUCUCUCUCUCUCUCUCUCUCUUUGCUAGGGUACGUGUUAUUAUCUCAACUAUUAUGGUCUAGGGUGGUGUGGGAAGAACUGAGUACCAGCCAUGAAAGCACUGAGAGGUGUCGGAUACUGCAGCGACGACGACGACAAAUUCGGCGCAUCCAACAUCCCCGCCGACACAACUGCGCUGGGCCCUGCCGCCAUCGACCCGCUCACUGCCGCCGCCGCCGCUGCGAGAGCAGCUGCAGGCGGCGUAGACGACGACGGUUCGGGCCCUUGGUCGUAAAGAAUUCCCCUAAACACGUGCCCGCCGAUCCUGACCGCCGUCUGGUACGCCAGCUCGUCCUCCGCCGCCGCCGCCGCCUCGUCCAUCGUGCUCACCCGCACGCACCGGAACACCGCCGGCGAGCUCACCUCCGCCGGAAAACUCACUCCCUCCAUCCCUAACAGUACACUCAAAAUAAGUUUUAAGUUUUUCAGAAAUCGUCGAUCUAAUAGGAAAUGAUUCAGAAAUAGCUUUUGAGUAGCGCUACUACGCGUACCUGCGGAGGCGACGGCGGGUGUUGCGGCGGGGCGGGGGCAAAUUUCUCGGGGCCGCUUGGAGGUGUCGGGAGCGGCGGCGGCGGCGGCGAGGCGGCGAGGGUUGUGGAGGGCGGCGGCGGCGGCGGCGAGAUGCUGCUGGCGUUCGCGGCGCUUGGAGGCGGGGACCCACGUGCUCUUGACGUGGGUGGGGCACUGGAAGCCCCGGCUCUUGCAGCACGUCCGGCACCGCAUGUGCGCGCAGUCUUUCUUCGCCUGGUUGCCGCAGUCCUGACAGCUCACCCCUCCCCCUCCGCCGCCGCCGCUGCUGCCGGCAGCAGCAGCACCGCCGCUCCGCCCUCCUCCUCCUCCUCCUCUCAUUACAAUCCUCCCGGCCGGCAGCUGAUGGUCAGAAGAAAAGCCGAUGAGCGCUGCUGCUGCUGCUGCGGACGAGGGAAGCUGGGGGUGGUGGUGGUGCUGCCAUAAUUCGAAGCCCCGGGGGUAGGAGAUGUCCGGCUGCUGAUUGGUUCCGCCGCCGAAGAGGAAGAGACUGUCGGGAGGGAUCACGGCGGCGGCUGCUGCUGCUGCUGCGUGUUGGUGUUGUUGCUCGUUUUCUCCUCCUUCGCUGCCGCGGCGGCCUCCGCCUAGAGAGAACCCGGCCAUUCUCUCCCAUCCAUUAGCAGCUUAAUUAACCCGCCACCCUCUCUAUACCCCUCUCUUCUCCUUCUCCUUCUCCUUCUCCUUCUCCUUCUCCUUCAGCUUCUUUAAGAAAAGGGUGAGGAUAGAGAUUUUUUUUUUUUCUCUUCUCUUGUUUUGGUUUUAAACACCUUUUCUUUUCUAUUACCUCUGAGUGAGAAGAGGCGCGGCAGAAGCAGAAAACUGCUGCUGCUGCUGCAGCUGCUGUGGGGCUCUCUCUCUCUCUCUCUCUCUCUCUUUCUCUCUAGAUCUGUAUUUUUUUAAUUUUUAUUUUUUGUUUCUAUCUCUUUCCAGUCCUGUGUUGUUUCUUCUUGAAUUCUCCACCACCCCUCUCUCUCUCUCUCUCUCUUUUUUUUUUUUUCCUUGUUUUAUAUAUGGAGGGGGUGGGGGAUAUUUAAGACACGGAAUUAGAGCCACUGCAACGCCGCCAUGGACACUGCAACCUAAGCUGUUGCUUCAUCAAUCCCAUUUAUGAUACCCCUUCUUUUUCUCUCUCUCUCUCUCUCUCUCUCUCUCUCUCUCUUUCUAACCCUAUCACGGGAAAUGGCCAAAGCACCAUUCCCUCCAGGAAAGGCAUCGCGUUACUUUUGAUGAAUACUAUUUUAGUAGAUCUACAGAAAAAGAAAAAAUUUAAUACUAAAUCUAUAUAACCAACAAAAAAAAAAAUUUAUAAUCCCUGCAACAUAUUCUCUUUAAAAGUCUCUACUGUUGACUUGAAAAAACUCCAAAAAACCUCUCUUGUGGUAUCUUUUUUUCUAAUUUUAGUAUCAUCUGGUUUAAAGUAUAUCAAGUUAGUUUAUAAUUUCGCACUUUCUUAUUUUAAUAUCCUAUGAUUUAAAGUGUAUCAAGUUAGUACCCUGUGUUUUCGCACUUUCUCACUUUAGUACCCUGUGGUUUAAUAUUUUAUUCGAAAAAAAAUAAAAUUAUAGGGUACUAACUUGAUAUAAAAAUAAAACCACAGAGUAUUAAAUUGAUACAAAAAUAAAAUCACAGAGUACUAAUUUAAUACACUUUAAACCACAGGGUACUAAAGUGAGAAAGUGCGAAACCACAUGGUACUAACUUGAUACACUUUAAACCACAUGGUACGAAAAUGAAAAAGUGCGAAACCACGGAAAGUCUUUUUUUUUAAUUUUUUCCUUUUUAUUUUUUUUAGUUUCAAUAUAAAAAAGAAAUGUGAUUAAUUAAUAAAGAAUGGGCCGAAAAGUAACUGAACACAUCUCAAAUUCUCUCGAUAUAAUAGUACAGCCAAAAAAAAUUUGAAUCACCGACUGUCUCUAGAGAAAGUGGCAAAGGGCUUGGUGGUUGGCACCCGAGACCUAAGUUCGAAUCUAAUUGAUUCACAUUUCUAGCUAAGUUUAUUUCUAAAUGAAAUAAACGAAAUGGUUACCAUGCUACCUAUCCCUCAAAAAAAAGAAAAAGAAAAUUUGAAUAUUACAAUAAAGAUUGAGAAGACUAACGUGCGAAUAACAAAACAAUAAAGAGAACAAAAACAUAAGAAAUUAGCGGGAUUCAGACAAUGAUGUCGAGCUA
rnacentral:lncRNA from 1 species